UUACUACUCCCUCCGUCCCAAAAUUCUUGUCUUAGAUUUGUCUAAAUACGGAUGUAUCAAGUCACGUUUUAGUAUUAGGUACAUCCGUAUCUAGACAAAUCUAAGACAAGAAUUUUGGGACAGAGGGAGUACUAC
rnacentral:pre_miRNA from 1 species